GUCAUCCAGAUGUUCAGAGGGAGAUGAUGCCACAUCUGGUCCAGCUGAUGGAAGGUCUUGAAGUUCUCUGACUGGCCUCGACUGAAGAUGGUCGUCUCACUGGAUUUAAGGUUCAGAUGCUCAGUAACAAACUCCACCAAUGAGCCAACAGGGAAGCUUUAGGUUUAUUAAAUGUUGCUAUGAAGAUGCACAAUGAGGGACGUCUGCAGAGACUGAGAAAGAGUCUCACCACAUCCUGACAUGAGGAAAAAGACUUUACUGAAGACUACAAUGAGAAAAACUAUCAGACAGCAGACGGCUGCAUUCAAGAGAGGAAGACCAUCAAACAUCCACGUCAGCUGAUGGAGGUCCAAGAGUCUCACCAAACAAACAACCUACAGAGUGAAGACCUCUAACCUGAUUGGACGGCUUCCUAUUCAGCCACAUGUGUGAACAAAUGC
ensembl:lncRNA